AUUGAACGCUGGCGGCAUGCCUUACACAUGCAAGUCGAACGGCAGCACGGGAGCAAUCCUGGUGGCGAGUGGAGAACGGGUGAGUAAAGUAUCGGAACGUGCCCAGUCGGGGGGGAUAACGCAGCGAAAAGUACGCUAAUACCGCAUACUGUCUAUGGAUGAAAGAGGGGGACCGCGAGACCUCGCGCGAUUGGGUCAGCCGAGAUCAGAUUAGGUAGUUGGUGGGGUAAAGGCUCACCAAGCCGACGAUCUGUAGCUGGUCUGAGAGGACGACCAGCCACACUGGGACUGAGACACGGCCCAGACUCCUACGGGAGGCAGCAGUGGGGAAUUUUGGACAAUGGGCGAAAGCCUGAUCCAGCCAUGCCGCGUGCAGGAUGAAGGCCUUCGGGUUGUAAACUGCUUUUGUACGGAACGAAAAGGUUUGGGCUAAUAAGCUGAGCUCAUGACGGUACCGUAAGAAUAAGCACCGGCUAACUACGUGCCAGCCGCCGCAGUAA
rnacentral:rRNA from 1 species